rnacentral:rRNA from 1 species
UACGUAGGGGGCAAGCGUUGUCCGGAUUUAUUGGGCGUAAAGAGCGUGUAGGCGGCUUUACAGGUCCGUUGUGAAAACUCGAGGCUCAACCUCGAGACGCCGGUGGAAACCGUAAAGCUAGAGUCCGGAAGAGGAGAGUGGAAUUCCUGGUGUAGCGGUGAAAUGCGCAGAUAUCAGGAAGAACACCCGUGGCGAAGGCGGCUCUCUAGUACGGUACUGACGCUGAGACGCGAAAGCGUGGGGAGCGAACAGG